ACUUCUGGCUAUUUCGGAGAAGGGAGAAGGGCCCACUACAGAGGCAAUGGGGAUGCUUCCAGUGAGGGUAAAUGUUGGAACAUGUAUGCAUGUAUCUCUAUAUGUGUGUAUGUGAUCAUCGUCAUCACCAUCCCUAAUAAAACAUUUCCUUUUCAAGUCAGAGCAUGCCCAAAAGUAAAGGGUUUGUGGAGAGCUGGGCUCUCCAGGGACUCUGGUUGCCAUAGCAACCUUCCAGACUGUUCUCUCUAUCUUCUGAUUUGGGCAGCAAGGGAGAACAGGAGACUACAUACUCCCAGCUUCUGAAAUGGGACCACCUCCUACAUAGUGGUUUAGGGGCUGUUAAUGACCGGCGAGAUGUGUGACCUUUGGAAAAUGAGGGGGGAAGCAGCUCCCCCAAACUUUCUCCCUGGACCUUUCUUCCUGGUUUCCCCACCUAAUCAUUGAAGCUGCCUCAUCUCACUCCCGAUUCUUCAGAAAUUUGAAUGCUAAGCAACUGCCAGUUAAACCAAUGUCAAUAUUAUCUUUUUUUCAAAAUGGCAAGGGAAGACUCGGAGGGGACACGCUCCUCAAGAGGCAGCCAGGCUGGGCCUCGCCAAGAGUCCUGACAGUGAUAGUCUGUGAUACUAUGGAGCUGUCAUCUCUUCAGAGAGAGAGGCUCCUCCCUGCUCUCAGGGAGACUGAGAGAAAUGACACUUCCUCCUCCUGGGGAGUUAUCUAGCUCUGUUCCUAGCAAUCUUAUAGGUGGCUCUUCUCAAGACAUCGAAGAAACACAGAGAGGCUGUGACCUGACCUGGUUUCUGUGAAGGAUUUUGCCAAGCCAUCCCUCUCUGACUUUGAGCUUCUUUGUGUGGAUUUUGUGCCCCGAGCAUCGAAAGAAGAUGCACCCUGUGCUGCCGAGAUAGCCGGGGUGACGAUUUUGCAGCUGCCAGCAAAGGCAGGGGUCAGGCCUCUGUUACACCUGAUUCUCCGGCAUGAACUCCCAAAUGCCUCCCUGGAUCUGUCAGACUCGGCUGAGACGUGGGGUAGUCCUCCUGCCUAAUCAUCCCCAAGGAGAGAGGGGGACAGCUGGCCACCUUUGCAUUGGAGGGAAAAGGCUGGCACAGCAAGGAGACCUACACAUACAUUUCUGGUAGUGGCUGGACAGAGAGGGCCUGGACCCCAACUUCUCAGGAAGACAAGACCCCCUCCUUGGAUCAUGCGGCCUGACAUCUCUCCAGUAGCCUCCCACAAGCAGUCACCAGAAUAGAAAAAGCUGAAACCACACCCACCAACAUUAAAGAUGGGGCCCAGGAUGUUGGGGUGAGGCUGUGGGGUGAAGGGUCAAAGGAUGCCAGAAAGUGCAUGGCUGUGCUACAGACCCACCCAGGAAAAGGGUGGCCAUGAAGACUAACAAAUAAAUAUAUGGCAAAGUCUCAGAGGCCGUGUGUUUUGCUGCAUGGAGACAUCAACAGCUAAGUUAAGCAGACAAGUCAGGCACUUGUGACAAAAGCAGUUGGGUAUCCAGGUCAGAGCACUUGGGUACCUUUCCGGGUGCCACCCACAGACGAUCAGAAAAGGUGCUUGAAUACCCUCUGCAUUGACCUCACCAUGGACAGGCAACAUUCUCCAAGAAGGCAACCCAUUCUCUAGGAGUUGUUUGCCUCUUCUGUACACAUGCCAGUGGGCAAAUGUCAGGGUCAGAGCUAUAUUUCCCAUGGCUUUCCCAGGCCUCAGAUGAUGCCAUUGCAAGGUCUCCUAGGAGCAGGAAGGACUUCUUUCUGGUAUGUGACCCACAUUGCUCUUGUCACAGACAGCUUUUCACUCCUGGGCUUUUUCAGAGAAUGGAGAGAGAGACUACUUCUGGAAGGUCCUUCCUUCCUGCCUGCCUAUCUCUCUCUCUAGCUUCCUUCUAGGUGCUCUGGAGGGGGAAAUUGUACCUGCUUGUUAUUCUUCCAAGUGAUGAGGCUGAUUCCCGCCCCCACCCCCCCCGCCCAGGCUUUACUUUCCUAAUGAAGUACGUCUAGGGGUUACAACUUGCUAUAAUGCCUGGACCCUCCUAGAAAUGUGCUAAAUGUGGGCCUUCAUUACCACACUGGAAGUCUCUAUAUAGGGGACUUAGCCUAUAUAAUCUUAGCCAUGUGCCCACUUAAUGUCUAGCACAGUACCUGACACACGAUUAUCACUCAUAAUAUGUCUGGUGAAUGAGUAAGGCCAUGUGUGAAUGAAUGAGAUGUUGACUCUUGUUAAGACAUAAAGUUAAACUACUUAUAUAAGAAUCAUCAAGAACUCACAUUAUUUAUUACAAGUGAGGGAAUUGUCAAACCACUCUGCAACACACACAUGUAUGCAACACAUGCACACACACACACACACAUGCACACAUCCUUUUCCCUCCUAGGCAUCUCUUCUUAGUAGAGAAACCCUAAAACUGACAUUUCUUGUGAAGGUCUAUUUACCAACCUGUGUCUACCCUUUGUUCCUUCAUUUAGCGAGUGUUCCUUGGGUGUCUGUGUGUCAAGCUAAUGAAUAAAAUCAAUCAAC
rnacentral:lncRNA from 1 species